AUCUUAUCAAGAGAGGUGGAGGGACUGGCCCUGUGAAACCCAGCAACCGGUAAUUCUUUGCGGUUAAAACAAUGCUGAUUUUAAAAUAAAAAAAUCAGUAGUAAUUUCCUAUGCAAAGAUUUAUAGCGGUGCUAAAUCCUGCGGUAGAAACUGAGAGAUAAGAA
rfam:Clostridium perfringens str. 13 DNA, complete genome.